rnacentral:rRNA from 1 species
GAUGAACGCUGGCGGCGUGCUUAACACAUGCAAGUCGAACGAUGAAGCCCAGCUUGCUGGGUGGAUUAGUGGCGAACGGGUGAGUAACACGUGAGUAACCUGCCCUUAACUCUGGGAUAAGCCUGGGAAACUGGGUCUAAUACCGGAUAGGAGCGUCCACCGCAUGGUGGGUGUUGGAAAGAUUUAUCGGUUUUGGAUGGACUCGCGGCCUAUCAGCUUGUUGGUGAGGUAAUGGCUCACCAAGGCGACGACGGGUAGCCGGCCUGAGAGGGUGACCGGCCACACUGGGACUGAGACACGGCCCAGACUCCUACGGGAGGCAGCAGUGGGGAAUAUUGCACAAUGGGCGAAAGCCCGAUGCAGCGACGCCGCGUGAGGGAUGACGGCCUUCGGGUUGUAAACCUCUUUCAGUAGGGAAGAAGCGAAAGUGACGGUACCUGCAGAAGAAGCACCGGCUAACUACGUG